GGGAUUGCCUCAGUAACGGCGAGUGAAGCGGCAACAGCUCAAAUUUGAAAUCUGGUUCGGGGUCCGAGUUGUAAUUUGUAGAGAGUGUUUCGGGUGAGACCACGGUCUAAGUCUGUUGGAACAUUACGUCAUAGAGGGUGAGAACCCCGUAUGCGACCGUGGCUCGAGCCCAUGUGAAGCCUCUUCGACGAGUCGAGUUGUUUGGGAAUGCAGCUCAAAAUUGGUGGUAAAUUUCAUCUAAAGCUAAAUACUGGCUGGAGACCGAUAGCGCACAAGUAGAGUGAUCGAAAGAUGAAAAGCACUUUGGAAAGAGAGUCAAACAGUACGUGAAAUUGUUGAAAGGGAAGCGCUGGCAACCAGACCUGCCCGUAGGCGAUCAGCCGCUGUUUUCAGCGGUGCACUCGUUCUGCGAUCAGGCCAGCAUCGGUUUCGGCGGUCGGAUAAAGGCCCGGGGAACGUAGCUCCCCCUCGGGGGAGUGUUAUAGCCUCGGGCGCAAUGCGGCCAGCCGGGACCGAGGACCGCGCUUCGGCUAGGAUGCUGGCGUAAUGGUUGUCAGCGACCCGUCUUGAAACACGGACCAAGGAGUCUAACAUCUAUGCGAGUGUUUGGGUGUCAAACCCAUGCGCGGAAUGAAAGUGAACGGAGGUGAGAACCCUCGGGGGCGCAUCAUCGACCGAUCCAGAUGUCUUCGGAUGGAUUUGAGUAUGAGCAUAGCUGUUGGGACCCGAAGGUGAACUAUGCCUGAAUAGGGUGAAGCCAGAGGAAACUCUGGUGNAGGCUCGCAGCGGUUCUGACGUGCAAAUCGAUCGUCAAAUUUGGGUAUAGG
rnacentral:rRNA from 1 species